rnacentral:rRNA from 1 species
AACGUAGGGUGCAAGCGUUGUCCGGAAUUACUGGGUGUAAAGGGAGCGCAGGCGGACCGGCAAGUUGGAAGUGAAAACCAUGGGCUCAACCCGUGAAUUGCUUUCAAAACUGCUGGCCUUGAGUAGUGCAGAGGUAGGUGGAAUUCCCGGUGUAGCGGUGGAAUGCGUAGAUAUCGGGAGGAACACCAGUGGCGAAGGCGACCUACUGGGCACCAACUGACGCUGAGGCUCGAAAGCAUGGGUAGCAAACAGG